rnacentral:rRNA from 1 species
AGUCGACGAGAAGUACCUUCGGGUGCGAGUAGAGUGGCGCACGGGUGAGUAACACGUAGGUAAUCUGCCUUUUGGUGGGGGAUAACCAGGAGAAAUUCUGGCUAAUACCGCAUAAGUUGGUAACAAGAAAGGAUGCUCCGGCAUUCGCCGAAAGAUGAGCCUGCGGGACAUUAGUUUGAUGGUGGGGUAAUGGCCUACCAUGACUUCGAUGUCUAGCUGGUCUGAGAGGAUGAUCAGCCACACUGGAACUGAGACACAGUCCAGACUCCUACGGGAGGCAGCAGUGGGGAAUAUUGCGCAAUGGGGGAAACCCUGACGCAGCAACGCCGCGUGAGUGAGGAAGGCCCUCGGGUCGUAAAGCUCUGUCAGAUGGGAAGAAACUACAUUGGUCUAAUAGGCCUUUGUACUGACGGUACCAUCAAAGGAAGCACCGGCUAACUUCGUGCCAGCAGCCGCGGUAAUACGAAGGGUGCAAGCGUUAUUCGGAUUUACUGGGCGUAAAGCGCGCGCAGGCGGAUAGAUAAGUCAGAUGUGAAAUCUCGGGGCUCAACCCCGAAACUGCGUCUGAAACUAUUUAUCUAGAGUCUUGGAGGGGGAAGUGGAAUUUCGCAUGUAGGGGUAAAAUCCGUAGAGAUGCGAAGGAACACCAGAGGCGAAGGCGACUUCCUGGCCAAGUACUGACGCUGAGGCGCGAAAGCGUGGGGAGCAAACAGGAUUAGAUACCCUGGUAGUCCACGCCGUAAACGAUGUGCACUAGAUUUGGGAGGUUUGACCCCUUCCGAGUCGCAGCUAACGCAUUAAGUGCACCGCCUGGGGAGUACGGUCGCAAGACUAAA